UACGUAGGGCGCGAGCGUGUCCGGAUUUAUUGGGCGUAAAGAGCUCGUAGGCGGUCUGUCGCGUCGCUGUGAAAACUCGGGGCUCAACCCCGAGCCUGCAGUCGAUACGGGCAGACUAGAGUGCUGUAGGGGAGACUGGAAUUCCUGGUGUAGCGGUGAAAUGCGCAGAUAUCAGGAGGAACCACCGGUGGCGAAGGCGGGUCGCUGGGCCAGUAA
rnacentral:rRNA from 1 species